UCUAUCUUGGCCGCGGGCGGGGUUUUUUCCCCGCACUCCCGGGUCGCCGUUUAGUGCGGCAAGUGGUAGUGAGGGGGGAGGUCGGGGAUCAGGGAGUGGGAGGCUGUGCGUGCUCCGCUCUCCGUGAGCCCGGCCCCGGGGGACGGGAGGUCCCGGAGGCGGCGGUGGUUCCCAGUGGGUUUCCGGCGGCCGCACGCAGGGCUGCAGCAGUUAGCGUGCAGCGUCUCGACGAGAAUUAUUGAAAGGCCUGAAUCAAGUUGGAUGCGUCAAGAGAAAACCAGCGUUCAUUAUGGAAAGGUUCUAAAGUUCCCUGGAUCUUAUGAGAGAUGGUAUGUGCUUUGUUAUUGGAUUGUUUUCUCUGGAGCAUCAGAAGCUGAGGAAGCAUUUGAACUUUUCCUGAAGGCCCUACAGAAGGAACAGACAGAACAAAUGGAGGAUUGAAGAUAUGGGAUAAAACCUUGAUGUAUUUUGAGUUUGGAGAAAUGCUACUGAGAGGAUCUCCAAGAGAAUGCACACUUGUCAUCAUGACUAUAGACCUUUUGCAUCUAUCAGCUUCCAGUCUCCAGUGACAAAGUCACAGACACUACAUCAGGUGAAAUCCCCCCUCCUCCACUCCACCUCCCCAUUAAAAACAAUAAUGUUUUUAAAUCGCCUGAGAAAUUGCUCCAAGACCAGUUUUCUACCCAACGCUACAAACCAUAAUACAAGAGAAAUAAAGGACUGCAGUGGCUGGAAUCCAGAUGGAAAAACAAGAUGCUGGAGGAACUCAGGCCAGGCAGCAUCCGUGGAGGAAAGAAGUGUCAACGUUUUGGGUCAGGAUCCUUCUUCAGGACUGAAGCAAAGUGAUGAAAGAUGUCGAUGACAACACCAUCAAGUUGCACUUACUGACAAGCUGCUCACCAAUGCUCAGUUUGGAUUUUACACGUCUGUUUGGCUCAGUCUCAAAGCCGAGAGCUAAAUUCCAGAGAUGAAGUUAAAAAGACUGCUCUAGAUACCAAAGCAACACCUGACUGAGUGUGGCACCAAGGAGCCCAGGUAAAACUGAAGUCAACGAGCAUCAAGGGAAAACAUUCUAAUGGCUGUUGUUGUUGGAGGUUAACAACAUUACUACAGGAGUUCCUCAGAGUGGUGUCCUUGACCCAGUCAUCUUCAGCUUUCGUCAAUGACCUUGUCUGUUGAGGACUGUGGGGGAAUGGGACAGAUGGGAAUGCUCAGGAAGCCAGCGUAAAUGGCCUCCUAUAUUGUUAUGAGAUAUGAAACUCAAUUCCAUUCGCAACUCCUCAGCAAAUGAGCAGGUCCAUACUUGUAUUGCAGCAAGAUGUUGACAACAUACUGCCAUGAGCUGGUAAGUGGCAAGUAACAAACAUGCCACAAAAGUGCCAGGCAAUGACCAGUUCCAUUAAGAGAAAGUCUAACCCUACUUUUGAUAGUCAAUGACAUACCAGUGCUCAAGACACUCUCCAUCAACAUUCUAGGAAUCACCAUUGACUAGAAAUUCAAUUGGAUCAGUGCUCUCAUAUACACACACACAAUAUAUCUUCAUUUUGUUAUUUGUCACUUACUGUGCAACCCUGGGUGAAUGUUUAGAAAAUUAUUUGGAUUAUCUAUUUGAAAAGGUAAACACUUCAGCAGUUGCACCUCACCCACAGAACCUAUCUUCAUCCACAUUUCUAUAAAGACAAAAAUAAAACUACACCCUUGAAUAUUGAAUUUUUGAUGUUCAUCAUCUAUUUUGGAUUAUUGUAGAUAUGUAUUUGGAAUCCCCAAAGGACAAAACAAAACUUAGGGUCACUCAAAUAUUCAUUGAUCCAAGUUAAAUGACUCUUCAUCUGAGAUGUUACAAUCAUAAAACUUCUGAAUGAGUCUGAGUCUUUCUUUUAAAAAUCAUUAACAUUGUCCUCAACAAACCCAAAAAACUGGAAGACACCAGCCUGUCUCUUGCCUUCUACUCCACGUGUUAUGGGAUUCCACCAUCAGCUUAAUCUGCACAAACUGCUGUUAAUUCUUUGCUCACUCUAGGACAAGUAGUUGGCUGCUGCCUCAGUGGACAAGCCUCCAAAUAAAAUAAUUGGCGAAGAUCUCUCAAAGAAACAUGGAUAUUUUUAAAUUUGUGCAGUAUUGUGUGCAGUUCUGGUCACCUAACUAUAGGAAGGAUAUCAGUAAGAUUGAAAGAGUGCAGAGGAGAUUUACUAGAAUGUUGCCGGGUCUUCAGGAGUUGAGUCACAGGGAAAGAUUGAACAGGUUAGGACUUUAUUCCUUGGCGCGCAGAAGAAUGAAGGGAGAUUUGAUAGAGGUUUACAAAAUUAUGAGGGGUAUAGACAGAGUAAAUAUGAGUGGGCUCUUUCCACCUAGAUUAGGAGAGAUAAGAACGAGAGGACAUGGCUUUAGGGUGAAAGGGAAAAGGUUUAGGGGGAACAUUAGGGGGAACUUCUUUACUCAAAGAGUGGUGGGAAUAUGGAACGGGCUGCCAUCUGAUGUAGUAAAUGCGGGCUAACUCUUAAGUUUUAGGAAUAAAUUGGAUAGAUACAUGGACGGGAGAGGUCUGGAGGGUUAUGGACUGGGUGCAGGUAAAUGGGACUAGCAGAAUAAUGUUUCAGCAGAUUAGAAGGGCCGCAUGGCCUGUUUUCUGUGCUGUAGUGUUCUAUGGUUCUAAAAAUCUCUAUGUACACACACACAGCAUGGAUGUUUUGGAGGAUACAGGUAUUCUCCAAUACCUCAGGCAAACAUCCACUUGACCCUGGGGAGUGAAGAGAAGAAAUACAUCACCGGAUAAGAGGAAGACCAAACUCACCCAUGUCUAUAGUUCAUGCUUUUAAAACAGGGCCACUGACUCACAACCAAGAGUAGAAAUGCUGCUAACUUACAUCUCCCUAAUACACGAGUGCCAAGGCCAGUUGCAGUGACCAAAUCAGUUUGCCUUUGCAAAACAGUGAACAACUUCACUGAAGCCCUGUGAGAAGCCGAAUGAAAUUUUAUUCUAAAAUGCAUUUGUUUUGUAGUUUGUACCAUUUUAGGCUCUGGUGUUCAUUUUAUGAAGUAGUAUAUUUUUCUUGACUUCUUCCCAUUUAGACCUAAUGAUAACACUUUAUCAGUUUCCCAAAGGAUAUUCCACAUAUCAAGAGCAAUUUCUCCCUUCCAAGUAAAUGUUUAAUGUAAUAUUCCAUUGCCAAUGAUAACUUUUCAGCAAUCUAAUACCAAUAUUAAUUUAAAAUCCAAUAUAACAGAGCAACAGAGGAAUAAUUACUUAAACAUAAGAAAUUGAUCGCAUACCUUGUAUACCUGGUCCUUACACAGAAAGGCAAAAGAAAAUCUCAUCUUCAAUUGCCUCCCUCUUGUUAUUCUCUCAUUAACCUUUUCCACUGAUCACACAGCUUGUUCCUCGCAGCAUCUCACAUCUCCCGAAAAGCACCGUAAACCCAACUUGAUAUGUAAUUCAUACUCAACUUUCCAUUAAACCAGACAAAUUCCUUAUCAAGUUAUUAUAUCAUUAUGUGUUGCUUC